rnacentral:rRNA from 1 species
GAUGAACGCUGGCCGCGUACCUAAUACAUGCAAGUCGAGCGAACAGACGAGGAGCUUGCUCCUCUGACGUUAGCGGCGGACGGGUGAGUAACACGUGGAUAACCUACCUAUAAGACUGGGAUAACUUCGGGAAACCGGAGCUAAUACCGGAUAAUAUAUUGAACCGCAUGGUUCAAUAGUGAAAGACGGUUUUGCUGUCACUUAUAGAUGGAUCCGCGCCGCAUUAGCUAGUUGGUAAGGUAACGGCUUACCAAGGCGACGAUGCGUAGCCGACCUGAGAGGGUGAUCGGCCACACUGGAACUGAGACACGGUCCAGACUCCUACGGGAGGCAGCAGUAGGGAAUCUUCCGCAAUGGGCGAAAGCCUGACGGAGCAACGCCGCGUGAGUGAUGAAGGUCUUCGGAUCGUAAAACUCUGUUAUUAGGGAAGAACAAAUGUGUAAGUAACUAUGCACGUCUUGACGGUACCUAAUCAGAAAGCCACGGCUAACUACGUG